GGCGAUACCCGAGCAAAGCGCUUGCCAAGAACAGGGACCCCCUGUUAUGAGGUAGAGUGGCGAACACCAGCACCAGGAUGGGGACCCGGUGGAAACACUCUCAAAUGUGUAGAGCAUAGCCCCUGGUAUAGGGGAACCAGGAAGGCUUGUCAGGUACAGCCUAUGGCAGUGGUGCAGGUACCCCCCUGUUAAGGAGAAGGCGUACGUACCAGAGACACCAAGUAGGUGACUCAUUAUGCUAAACACGGGGACGGCUGCCUUACCUGUGCGGUUGAAUACCUGUGCAGUCAGGGGAGCGCCAUCUGAAAAUCCACUAGAGGGGAUACCAACCCUGGGUAGGAGAGGUUCCUCCGUGCACGUUAGUCUUGACCUCACAGAGGCUUCUGUAUGGAGGAAGACCGCCUGAUGCUCUGUUCCGAGGGAAUCGGUGCAGAGGUGUCCCCCGAGGCAACGGAUGGGGUGACGGGAAAGGAUUCGUCACCAGCCUCAGGCCUGUCCUGGGGAGGACCCGAGGAUGCCGAGGAGGGGUGGAAUCCUGUUGAGACCACCCGAGGUUGUACUGUGAGCUACCCCUUGCCGG